UACAGAACGCUGCCGAAGACAGCAGGUGCCGUAAGGCAUAAGGAUCACAACGCCUGCCGAGGACUUAGUAUUCUGAUAGAUUUCAGGAAUCCCUUGUUGUUCUAUGCAGCAGGGGCUUUUUUAAUG
rnacentral:sRNA from 1 species